rnacentral:lncRNA from 1 species
GACCUCAAUGGUGAGUAAAUUACAAAAAAACAAAUCUAAUAUUUGAGAAAUGGCGAUCUUCGGCAAUGGUCGAAGUGGGUCCAAUAUGAGCUGUCCGUAGGUGGUGUCGAUGAUGAGAUUUUUCUUUCUCUUCUCUUUCUCUUCUCUUCUCUUUCUUGCCUCUUCUCUUCUCUUCUCUUUAUCUGGGGCUAUUUUCGACCCUUUGGGUAUUGUUUACAUUUUCAAUUUUUUUUAAUGAGAUUUUUUCGGUCAAAAGCCAUUGUGGAGAGAUGGCCGGCCAUCUUCCACUAUUUUCUCACGAGUUAAUUAAAUAGCUGCUCACUAACAUUUAACUUUGGUUACCACUUCCUCACCCAAAAAUAAAAGGUUACUACCUGCUCACUUAAUUUUACAAAAAGUUACCCAUCCAUCACCCGGUUGUGUUCCAUCCGUCUAUGUGGACAAAAAAUUACACGUGUCGGAUGAAAAUCCUAUGUGUCAACUAACUCCGUUAAUUAUUGCCACCUAGACGUUCAACUCACGUUUUCCCUUCAUUUUCCCCUUCCAUUUCUUGUUCCCAAUUCUUGCCCUAACCAUGAACCCAUUUCUUCUCCCCAACAAAUCGAUUUCUAUCAAAUCAAGAAAAAUCUCUGCUUCCAAACCCAUCUUCCCAAGCAAAAAAGUAAUCGAAAUCGCUGGAAAUCGCCCUUAAAUUGAGUCUGCUGUGCUUGGGUAGAACCACCCGUGCAACCACGCUUUCGACGACCCAUAAUUCAUCUAUUCAUUCUGGCCAGCCACUAUGCUCGACAAAUCGUGAGAAGCAUCUCACUCAUCAAGAGCAAGUUCGAUUCCACAAUUUGCUUUUAUGGCCGAAGCUUCUCCCACGUGCAUCUUCUGCCUUUGGUUUGCUGCGUUAUGAAGCUCCAAAUGAGAUGGAUUUUGCAAGUUUUUUUUGUUAAUGGUAUACAAAUAAAGAAUUGGAAACUGUUGGAAAAAUGAAUAGGUUGUUGUGGGUUUUUGAAUAUGUAGUUGGUAUGUUGGUGGUUUUGUAAGUUGUAUAUUGAUGGUGUAGGAAUGUUUGUGGAGUUCUAUUUCAGCUCAAUGGUUGUAAUGGUAGGUGUAUUAGUGUUUAUGGUUGUGAAAUCAUCAUAGGAAACUUGAUGUAUUUUAUAGUUUCAAAUUGAAUGGGUUCCUUUUUUGAAUGUGUAAUUGGUAGGUUGUUGUUGGUGUUUGUAAGUCUUGAUCGUGUAGGAAUGUAGAUGGUGAUGGUAGAUGUUCGACUAUUUGACAUAAUUGUGGAGUCAAUGGUUGUAGUGGUAGGUGUAUGUGUUGUAUUGAUGGUUGUGGAAUCUUCAACGGAAAUCAGAUUUUUUUUUUGCAGUUUUUAAUUGAAUAGGUUUCUUUUGUGUUCA